AGUUCUUCUUCCUCUCAAACGACGAAGCGGCGCGCUUCCUAAGCUCAUCGGAAACGGCUUCGAAACGCCACCCUUCCUUCGUAACCUCCAUCCCGUUUCCAUCCUCAAUAUAGACCUCAACACAAUCUCACUCUUCUCUCUAAUUUAGUAACAUCACAGAAAACCCUAACCUAAAUCUGAAAUUGAACGAAAAUCUUGGAGCUUCUUGAGUAAUAACCAUGGGGGACUGGUUCAGAGAAUCCAAGCUUUUGUCAUAGUGUCAAGAACAGAAGGAAGAGAUGAAGAUGGACAUAAGCUUGGAUUCUUAUCUAAAAACCCUAAAGUUGAAGACAACGAAAUAGAGCAUGAUUUUAUUCAAUAGGCACAGGGUUUAUGUUCAUAUAAGCAAAUCGAGUGGCAUGGUAACAAAUAAACAAGAAAAUCACACAAAGACUUACCGACCCGGAGCUAGUUCGGGGAAUUCCGAUGACGGUGAAAGGCUCAGUUCAGGUACUCUUUGAUUCCUCAUUCAUCCCUUUUGUUUCUUUUCUUCUGAAACCUUUUGCAAAUUCUGGAAGAUGCUAUUGGUUGGGUUUUGUCGUCGCCAUGGUGUAUGCUUCAGUUGUGCGGUUCGUUGAAUGUGCGGUUGUUACAGGUUUGUGUAUGCUGAAGAAGGAUUUUAUGGAGAGUUUUUGUAUGGUUGCGUUCUUGUUGAGUUUUGUACAAGGAUUUGAGGGAAUGAGCUGGAGUUGAAGGACUAAUUUUGUAUAUUCUACAGGUGAGGUUUAUGUAGAUUUUUUCUCUCCUUUGCUUGAUUCUUAGUGCCAUUUUUAUAGAAGAAAGUGAGUGAACUUCUUGGAUAAAAGCUGAAGGAUAAAAGCAAACUUAACUAUUAAGUUAAGUCGACAUUAUACUUACCCUGUGCUUGGCUACAUUACUCCCUGGUUGAAUUUGGUGCAAUUCUUGUUAGCUAUAAAAACAGGGUGCAGCCAAUGCUAAUAUUAGGAGGAUGAUUGUGCUGCUGUUAUGUAUGGUGGAUCGAUGAUAAUAUAGAGUCUAUUGAUGCUGCAAUUUUUUUAUGUUGAUAGCAGAAAGGAUCAUAGUAAUUAAGGUGAACAUGAUAAUAUGAAUGAUUUAGUGGCAUUUUUAAAGUUGUGUGAAAUUUUAAAACCAAUGUUGCAGUUUCUCAGCUUGUAAAAUUUCAAUGACAGUUUUAUUUCCACUACUAAAUUGCAAUCAUUGUUAGUUCAUUGGCAAUGAGAACAUCUCUACCCAAGAUGAUGAGUACAAGGUGUCAUGUUUAUAAUUCAAAUUAAAGAUAUUGUUUUUGGAUAUGAUUUGCUGAUAUCGAUAUGUUUCAUGCAGGAUGCCACGAAUAAAUCGUUGAAAUUCGACAUUGACAGAGGCAACUUAAACCUGUUUUUUGAGGAGAUAUUCUCUGGUUCAUAAUGCAUCAUGACUAUCUCAUAUGUGAUGUUAUACGUUCAGUCACAUUUAAGUUAAAAAAGGAAAAUAAGACAUUAAAAGGCUUAACAACUUAAGGCUGCUUAGAAAUUGGAGCUGCCAAUUUUUGGAAGAAAAAAGCGACCUAAACCAGUAUACAGAUAUAUUAGAAGUUAAUUUGUGCAUUGUUGGAAAGUCAAUUAUGGCCAUCGAGGAGUCACUUCGGCUGGAGAGAACUAGUUUUCUUAGGGAG